rnacentral:rRNA from 1 species
GAUGAACGCUAGCGGCAGGCUUAAUACAUGCAAGUCGAGGGGUAGCAAGAUUGUAGCAAUACAAUUGUUGACGACCGGCAAACGGGUGCGGAACACGUACACAACCUUCCUACAAGUGGGGAAUAGCCCAGAGAAAUUUGGAUUAAUACCCCGUAACAUAGCGAUGUGGCAUCACAUUGCUAUUAUAGCUUCGGCGCUUGUUGAUGGGUGUGCGGCUGAUUAGAUAGUUGGCGGGGUAACGGCCCACCAAGUCUACGAUCAGUAGCUGAUGUGAGAGCAUGAUCAGCCACACGGGCACUGAGACACGGGCCCGACUCCUACGGGAGGCAGCAGUAAGGAAUAUUGGACAAUGGACGCAAGUCUGAUCCAGCCAUGCCGCGUGAAGGAUUAAGGUCCUCUGGAUUGUAAACUUCUUUUAUAAGGGACGAAAAAAGGUCUUUCUAGAUCGUCUGACGGUACCUUAUGAAUAAGCACCGGCUAACUCCGUGCCAGCCGCCGCCGUAA